rnacentral:rRNA from 1 species
AGGGAAUAGAUACCCGGGUAGUCCACGCCCUAAACGAUGUCGACUAGGUGUUCGGUGAGGAGACUCAUUGAGUAACCGCAGCUAAACGCGUGAAGUCGACCGCCUGGGGAGUACGGUCGCAAGAUUAAAACUCAAAGGAAUUGACGGGGACCCGCACAAGCGGUGGAUGAUGUGGAUUAAUUCGAUGCAACGCGAAGAACCUUACCUACCCUUGACAUGUACGGAACCCUGCUGAGAGGUGGGGGUGCUCGAAAGAGAGCCGUAACACAGGUGCUGCAUGGCUGUCGUCAGCUCGUGUCGUGAGAUGUUGGGUUAAGUCCCGCAACGAGCGCAACCCUUGUCAUUAGUUGCUACGCAAGAGCACUCUAAUGAGACUGCCGGUGACAAACCGGUAGGAAGGUGGGGAUGACGUCAAGUCCUCAUGGCCCUUAUGGGUAGGGCUU